UGACUGACUUCGUCUAUGAUGCUGUAUGUG
rnacentral:piRNA from 1 species